rnacentral:rRNA from 1 species
AUUGAACGCUGGCGGCAGGCCUAACACAUGCAAGUCGAACGAGUGGCGGACGGGUGAGUAAUGUCCGGGAAACUGCCCGAUGGAGGGGGAUAACUACUGGAAACGGUAGAUAAUACCGCAUACCAUCGGAUGUGCCCAGAUGGGAUUAGCUAGUAGUUGGGGUAAAGGCUCACCUGGGCGACGAUCCCUAGCUGGCAUGAGAGGGUGACCAGCCACACUGGAACUGAGACACGGUCCAGACUCCUACGUGGGUCAGCAGUGGGGAAUAUUGCACAAUGGGCGCAAGCCUGAUGCAGCCAUGCCGCGUGUAUGAAGAAGGCCUUCGGGUUGUAAAGUACUUUCAGCGGGGAGGCGUUACCCGCAGAAGAAGCACCGGCUAACUCCGUGCCAGCAGCCGCGGUAAUUC